rnacentral:rRNA from 1 species
UAGGGAAUCUUCGGCAAUGGACGAAAGUCUGACCGAGCAACGCCGCGUGAGUGAAGAAGGUUUUCGGAUCGUAAAACUCUGUUGUUAGAGAAGAACAAGGACGUUAGUAACUGAACGUCCCCUGACGGUAUCUAACCAGAAAGCCACGGCUAACUACGUGCCAGCAGCCGCGGUAAUACGUAGGUGGCAAGCGUUGUCCGGAUUUAUUGGGCGUAAAGCGAGCGCAGGCGGUUUCGUAAGUCUGGUGUGAAAGCCCCCGGCUCAACCGGGGAGGGUCAUUGGAAACUGGGAGACUUGAGUGCAGAAGAGGAGGGUGGAAUUCCAUGUGUAGCGGUGAAAUGCGUAGAUAUAUGGAGGAACACCAGUGGCGAAGGCGGCUCUCUGGUCUGUACCUGACGCUGAGGCUCGAAAGCGUGGGGAGCAAACAGG